rnacentral:rRNA from 1 species
UACGGGGGGGGCAAGCGUUGUUCGGAAUUACUGGGCGUAAAAGGCGCGUAGGCGGUGCUCUAAGUUAGAUGUGAAAACUCUGGGCUCAACCCCAGAGCCUGCAUCUAAAACUGGAGUGCUAGAGUUCUGGAGGGGGUAGCGGAAUUCCUGGUGUAGCGGUGAAAUGCGUAGAUAUCAGGAGGAACACCGGUGGCGAAGGCGGCUACCUGGACAGAAACUGACGCUGGAGGCGCGAAAGCUAGGGGAGCAAACAGG